UACAGAGGGUGCGAGCGUUGUUCGGAAUUAUUGGGCGUAAAGGGCGCGUAGGCGGUGCCACAAGUCACUUGUGAAAUCUCCGGGCUUAACUCGGAGCCUGCAGGCGAAACUGUGGUGCUGGAGUGUGGGAGAGGUGCGUGGAAUUCCCGGUGGUAGCGGUGAAAUGACGUAGAUAUCGGAAGGAACACCAGUGGCGAAAGCGGCUUCCUGGUCCAGCACCGACGUUCAGGCACGAAAGCGUGGGGAGCAAACAGG
rnacentral:rRNA from 1 species